rnacentral:lncRNA from 1 species
AUUUUUAUAUAUAUAUUUUCUUACACCUUUUCACGUGAAUAACAAUUAGGUUAUUCACGAAAGAUAUAUAUGUUCAUGUAUGUUUGUUCACGGUGGAAUGACCUUAAUUUUUUAUGAAAGGUAUUUUAGAAUUUAUGGGAUUUUGUAAUGUUUGUUCAAACAAAGUCUAAUUGUGGUUUAAAGACUUUCAUGAUAACCUUUUACGAAAUCCAAAUCCUAGUAGUUUAAUCUGAUAAACCCAGAUAAUAUUAAUGGAUAAUGUAG